CUUGGUCAUUUAGAGGAAGUAAAAGUCGUAACAAGGUUUCCGUAGGUGAACCUGCGGAAGGAUCAUUAAAUAAUCAAUAAUCUUGGCUUGUCCAUUAUUAUCUAUUUACUGUGAACUGUAUUAUUAUUUGACAUUUGAGGGAUGUUCCAAUGUUAUAAGGAUAGACAUUGGAAAUGUUAACCGAGUCAUAAUCAGGUUUAGGCCUGGUAUCCUAUUAUUAUUUACCAAAUGAAUUCAGAAUUAAUAUUGUAACAUAGACCUAAAAAAUCUAUAAAACAACUUUUAACAACGGAUCUCUUGGUUCUCGCAUCGAUGAAGAACGUAGCAAAGUGCGAUAACUAGUGUGAAUUGCAUAUUCAGUGAAUCAUCGAGUCUUUGAACGCAACUUGCGCUCAUUGGUAUUCCAAUGAGCACGCCUGUUUCAGUAUCAAAACAAACCCUCUAUCCAACUUUUGUUGUAUAGGAUUAUUGGGGGCCUCUCGAUCUGUAUAGAUCUUGAAAUCCCUGAAAUUUACUAAGGCCUGAACUUGUUUAAAUGCCUGAACUUUUUUUUAAUAUAAAGGAAAGCUCUUGUAAUUGACUUUGAUGGGGCCUCCCAAAUAAAUCUUUUUUAAAUUUGAUCUGAAAUCAGGCGGGAUUACCCGCUGAACUUAAGCAUAUCAAUAAGCGGAGGA
rnacentral:rRNA from 1 species